rnacentral:rRNA from 1 species
GCGGCAGCACGGGUACUUGUACCUGGUGGCGAGCGGCGGACGGGUGAGUAAUGCCUAGGAAUCUGCCUGGUAGUGGGGGAUAACGCUCGGAAACGGACGCUAAUACCGCAUACGUCCUACGGGAGAAAGCAGGGGACCUUCGGGCCUUGCGCUAUCAGAUGAGCCUAGGUCGGAUUAGCUAGUUGGUGAGGUAAUGGCUCACCAAGGCGACGAUCCGUAACUGGUCUGAGAGGAUGAUCAGUCACACUGGAACUGAGACACGGUCCAGACUCCUACGGGAGGCAGCAGUGGGGAAUAUUGGACAAUGGGCGAAAGCCUGAUCCAGCCAUGCCGCGUGUGUGAAGAAGGUCUUCGGAUUGUAAAGCACUUUAAGUUGGGAGGAAGGGCAGKUACCUAAUACGUAUCUGUUUUGACGUUACCGACAGAAUAAGCACCGGCUAAC